ACACCUAUGGUGAAGCGGUUAUCAUGCUUGCCUUCCAGGUGUCGCUUCGACGCUGAGAUAGCAAGCGGCAGGGGUUCGACUCCCCUUGGGUGUA